rnacentral:rRNA from 1 species
GACGAACGCUGGCGGCGUGCUUAACACAUGCAAGUCGAACGGAAAGGCCCUGCUUUUGUGGGGUGCUCGAGUGGCGAACGGGUGAGUAACACGUGAGUAACCUGCCCUUGACUUUGGGAUAACUUCAGGAAACUGGGGCUAAUACCGGAUAGGAGCUCCUGCUGCAUGGUGGGGGUUGGAAAGUUUCGGCGGUUGGGGAUGAACUCGCGGCUUAUCAGCUUGUUGGUGGGGUAGUGGCUUACCAAGGCUUUGACGGGUAGCCGGCCUGAGAGGGUGACCGGCCAAAUUGGGACUGAGAUACGGCCCAGACUCCUACGGGGGGCGGAAGUGGGGAUAAUUGCACAAUGGGCGGAAGCCUGAUGCAGCAACGCCGCGUGCGGGAGAACGGCCUUCGGGUUGUAAACCGCUUUCGCCUGUGACGAAGCGUGAGUGACGGUAAUGGGUAAAGAAGCACCGGCUAACUACGUG